AUGAUGAAUAAAGCUUGGUUAGGUUGUCGCU
rnacentral:rRNA from 1 species